GUUCACCUCACUGUUUGCCCAAAGGGAUCUCCGCCUUCCCGGUGGGGUCCGGGAUAACCCCCCCGGCCCACAGGGGGGGGAGAACGAGGCCCUUUGCCGGCGUGCGGGAGGACCCGCCGGACUAAGCGCGGGAGAUCGGCCGUUUCUCCCGCCAGAGCCUCACGACGGGCCGCAACACCAUCCGCACAGCAGUCAGCCUUGCCGGUAGGGUAUGGGCCGACAGCCGCCCCAAGUGUUGUGGCUCAGGUCCCCAGUGCCUUCUCAUAGUUGCCGGUUGUUUUUUAGGGGGAGAUAUAGUAGUUUUGGGCUGAUUAAUGGUCUUUCAUCGUGGAGCCAAGGCGCCCC